GAAUGUAUGAAUGAUGCAUCAAUACUUGUAAAGUUUCAACAUGAAAAUGUGAUUCAGUUGCUUGGAUAUUGCAUUGGCAGAACAACGGUGUACCUCCUCUAUGACUUUGCAGUUAAUGCAACUCUGGCUAGCUUUAAUUUGGUAACUUUUUUCAAUUUGACAGGCAUUCAUCUUAAUUAAGGUUAUUAAUUGCUUGGUUCAACACAGAGCACAUUGCAACUCUUGGGAACUUCUGAUAGAGUUAUAUAGUACACAAUCCUACGUGUAAUCUUUUGGACUGGAAUAAACGGUGCAAAAUAAUUCUUGGUGUAGCUAGGGUACUUGCAUACCUUCACAAUCAUGCUCCCAUUCGGAUCAUUCAUCAUGAUGUAAAACCUGCAAACAUUCUUUUAGAUGAAACUUUUGACCCCAAACUGUCACGUUUUCGGAUCGCAAUUGCAGUUAACGAGGAGACAGACAUCUUUGAGAAUGUUUCGGUUGCGGGGACUAUGGGAUUUAUUGCACCGGAAUAUCUCAAACAAUUACGGCUGUCAACCAAGGCAGAUGUCUAUAGUUUUGGUGUGUUGGUUUUCGAAACUGUAACUGGACAACAAGGAUUCGAUUUAGUCCGCCUAGCUAACGACAAGGACGUUCUGCUUGUAGAUUAUGUAUGUAUGAUUAGAUUCUAUGAUGGUACUUCUUAAAUCAAAAUCAUCGCUUUCUAAGCACAUGGAUUUUAACAUCGAUCAACAUAUAACCAACUUCUCUUCAACUUACAACAAACUUUUUAAUGUGGAGAGAAAUUGGUUGGAAGGAACACUGUCAGAUAUAAUUGAUCCCAGAAUUGAUGUGGAUUCAAUCUUGGUGACAAAAUUAAUCGAGAUUGGGUUGUUGUGUGUUCAAAGAGAUGAUGCAGUUAGGCCAACUAUGGAGGAAGUUGUUGACAUGUUGCUUGGCACCUCAUCUCUGACUCUCCCUGUGUCGGAAAUGCGAGCAAGGAUGAUGAUUGUUUAGCCUCCAGAUUCGCCUGCAGAUUUCUUCACUGAAGAUUAUGAUACUAGUGCAGUCGAAGAGUUUAUAUCAGAGUUAUGCCCAGGAUAGUGCAUUCAAGUUAUGCAAAGUGCAUUUCUUAAAAUACCAUACAUGUAAUUGUUGAUCAAAUUUUUAGUGACAAUUCUUCUUUUUGAUAGUGGAAUUGACAAGUGCCAAACCAACCA